AAGGCCCUCGGGUUGUAAAGCACUUUCAGCGAGGAAGAACGCCUAGCGGUUAAUACCCGCUAGGAAAGACAUCACUCGCAGAAGAAGCACCGGCUAACUCCGUGCCAGCAGCCGCGGUAAUACGGAGGGUGCAAGCGUUAAUCGGAAUUACUGGGCGUAAAGCGCGCGUAGGUGGCUUGAUAAGCCGGUUGUGAAAGCCCCGGGCUCAACCUGGGAACGGCAUCCGGAACUGUCAAGCUAGAGUGCAGGAGAGGAAGGUAGAAUUCCCGGUGUAGCGGUGAAAUGCGUAGAGAUCGGGAGGAAUACCAGUGGCGAAGGCGGCCUUCUGGACUGACACUGACACUGAGGUGCGAAAGCGUGGGUAGCAAACAGGAUUAGAUACCCUGGUAGUCCACGCCGUAAACGAUGUCGACCAGCCGUUGGGUGCCUAGCGCACUUUGUGGCGAAGUUAACGCGAUAAGUCGACCGCCUGGGGAGUACGGCCGCAAGGUUAAAACUCAAAUGAAUUGACGGGGGCCCGCACAAGCGGUGGAGCAUGUGGUUUAAUUCGAUGCAACGCGAAGAACCUUACCUACUCUUGACAUCCUGCGAAUUUGGUAGAGAUACCUUAGUGCCUUCGGGAACGCAGAGACAGGUGCUGCAUGGCUGUCGUCAGCUCGUGUUGUGAAAUGUUGGGUUAAGUCCCGUAACGAGCGCAACCCUUGUCCUUAUUUGCCAGCGCGUAAUGGCGGGAACUCUAAGGAGACUGCC
rnacentral:rRNA from 1 species